rnacentral:rRNA from 1 species
GUGGGGAAUUUUGGACAAUGGGCGCAAGCCUGAUCCAGCAAUGCCGCGUGCAGGAAGAAGGCCUUCGGGUUGUAAACUGCUUUUGUACGGAACGAAACGGUCCUGGUUAAUACCUGUGGCUAAUGACGGUACCGUAAGAAUAAGCACCGGCUAACUACGAGCCAGCAGCCGCGGUAAUACGUAGGGUGCGAGCGUUAAUCGGAAUUACUGGGCGUAAAGCGUGCGCAGGCGGUGCUGUAAGACAGGCGUGAAAUCCCCGGGCUCAACCUGGGAAGUGAGCUUGUGACUGCAGUGCUGGAGUACGGCAGAGGGGGAUGGAAUUCCGCGUGUAGCAGUGAAAUGUGUAGAUAUGCGGAGGAACACCGAUGGCGAAGGCAGUCCCCUGGGCCUGUACUGACGCUCAUGCACGAAAGCGUGGGGAGCAAACAGGAUUAGAUACCCUUGUAGUCC